UACGGGGGGGGUAAGCGUUGUUCGGAAUUACUGGGCGUAAAGGGCUCGUAGGCGGCCAACUAAGUCAGACGUGAAAUCCCUCGAGCUUAACUGGGGAACUGCGUCUGAUACUGGAUGGCUUGGAUCCGGAGAGGGAUGCGGAAUUCCAGGUGUAGCGGUGAAAUGCGUAGAUAUCUGGAGGAACACCGGUGGCGAAGGCGGCAUCCUGGACCGGUAUUGACGCUGAGGAGCGAAAGCCAGGGGAGCAAACGGG
rnacentral:rRNA from 1 species